UCAGAGAUGAGUGUCAACACAUCUGUAAACCUUUCUGAGAAAAGGAAAGCACAGCACAGAAAUCCUCACCCACUGCCAAGAGUUAGCAGAGUUAUCAAGCUAAAAAAAUUCUUCAAAUGAUAGAAAAGUCCUUGCUGCAUGACAUUGGAUUAAAUCUUCCAAGAUUUCAGACUAUCUCCCACACAUCUGCUUCAGAGCUUCUGACACCUUCAUCUGGAGACACUCUGUCUGGCCUUGCUCAAGCACGGUACUUGAUGAACUGUACCAUGGGUCAGAAAAAGUGUGUGGUAUCUGUGCUGCUCCUCCCCAUUUUCUCUGUGUGCCUGCCUGCGGCUACCCAUACAACACAGGAAAAUUCACCUUAUAACUAAGAUGUUCCUGAUGGCCUCUGUCUGCCUGAGGAUUCUGCUGCAGAGGGAUAUGAUGUGUAUCCUGGGACAAAUUUCAACAUCGCAGAUCUGUCUGGGAAUAAGGCCUCGAUUACACGCAGAUCUAACCUGCAGGUGGGCAUGGGAACCCCUUGGUGCUUAUCAUGGAAAACAGCCAAGGUCAUCAGAGUGGGAACUUUACUCCUUUACUGUAUUUUACUCCUUUGCUUCAUAAAACAGCCAUUCAGGUAUUUCUUUUUAAUCCACUUCCCAGGAGUGACCCUUCCCAAUGCAGAAUCCCUCCUCUUGCCUCAAGUCCCUAAGUCGUGCUCCUGCCUCUGCCUCAAAACACCUGUACCCUAACAUCUGCUGUUUAUGGCCAAAGAGCCUCAGAGGUCUGUGCUGUGGCAUAGUCCCCAGGCAUUGCUCUGCCCCUGUGCAGCCAUAUCCCAAUUUACACUACUACACUGACGGAGCAGGAAAAGAGUUAUGUCAGUUUUGAAACCUGUGAUUCAUUGGAUGAAAAGACAAUACACUGUUGUUGUCAGCUUAGGUACAACAGUGGGAACCUAACAUUACCAGUGAAUUCAGCUUGGAGAUGGAUCUUGAGCCCUAGUUCCAAAGUUAAAACUCUUAGAGUACUGAAGAGGAGCAGAGAAGGCAGCAUGAAGACAAACGAAGAACAACUGCACAGUGUGACUGUGUUUGUUCCCACUGCUUCACUGGAGGCCUCUUCGUAUGACAGCUUUUAGCAUGUACUCCUUUCCAAUGACACUGGAGCCAGGAUGUCAGCCGAGGCAGACUCAGUCUGAGCUGUGACGGCUGUUGCUAUGUAUUUAUGGUACAGCCAGGGGUGUUUCCGUUUAAUGCCUGUCUGAGAGCAGUCACAAGUUCCCUCUUCCCCAGCCUCUGGGUCAGUAGCAGAACAAACUCACCAGCCAGUUCCACUUAAUUACUGUUCGUUUUUGGUGAAACAAAGAAUAAAUGUUGCUGUGUGACUGUGUGCUUGACUAAUGGGCCUGAUUAUUAAUAGCCAGUUUUGGUUCCCCUCCCAGCCUGUGUGCCACAAAAUACAUUUCCCUUCUGUUUCCAGGAUCAAGCUGUCUGGGAAGUCACUGUUCCGUGAGGAGACUGGACAAAGACCUUAUUGAACUUCCCUUCCAUUUUAACAGAAGACUGAUCUCCCUCUUUAUUUUUAGCAUGUUAUCAACAAAAGUUGCUUUAUUGCUUCACUGUUCAUAGAUGAGGACAUAGUUUUGGUACAGACAAACAGCUCUACCCAGAAAAAUUCACCACAUUGUUCUCCCGCAUGGCACACAUGAAGUGUACUGCUUGGUUGUCUGGUUCUUCUCCUCACAGGCCUCAAAUGCCCACCGCUCCACACAACCUCUCAGUUCCUGCUGAAAGCACGAGGUAUUAUCCAUGCCCCAAAUCCACAUUCCCAGCCUCUCCCAGCUUCUUAAAACCCAGGCUUCUCCAGUGCCCAGGCAUCAGCUCCAAACACUGACCAUUUGCAGAUCUUGUACUGCACUCAGGUGAUGCUCUUGAAGAGGUUUCUUGUCCCAGGCAGCUGUAGGAAGCCUCCUUGCUGGGCAUCAGUGGCCGAAGAAGAUGUGCAUUGCACAGCGGAGAAGACUGAAAAGAGAGACCUUAUGGAUGCCAUGUUACUGCUGAAAACUAGCCUUUUCUCUGGCGGCUCCCUCUUGUUAUUUCAAUAGCUAUUCCAUGUAUUUACUAUAAAAGACUUGAAAAUUCAUACAUCCAUUCUCCAUACAUCCGCGUGACUCCCACUGGAGACACAAGGGCAUUAAACCCUUCCCCUGACAACAGCUGUAGGAAAUGUUAAGUUUUGUCAAUGCUUCAUUUCUACUUCUUGAAGAGAGAGCCUUUUCUACCUUACCUGCUAAUGCCAACAGAAUCCCUGUUUCCACUUCCUAGGAUUUUAGGCUUGUGCAAUAGGUAGAAGGCACAGUAUCUGCUUCUCCAUACAAUUUAUUAUUCAUAUUUCUUCCUGCUUCAACUCUUCUAAUGACAAGUUCAAAACAAUUAAGGAAAAGAGUAAAUGUAGGAAUAAUUCAACAAGCUGCUGGUCUCAGGCUGUAACAGGAGCAUGCACAGUGUGUAUGAUGUGCUGGGACUCUAGCAGGGGUCAGUCCUGCAAAGAUUAUCCUGGGAAUAAAUGUGUGCACUUAAAUGAAAUUACAGUGUAAGCGAUUAGACCUCUGAGGUCCACUGCUUUAAAA